GACGAACGCUGGCGGCGUGCUUAACACAUGCAAGUCGAACGGAAAGGCCCUGCUUGCCGGGUACUCGAGUGGCGAACGGGUGAGUAACACGUGGGUGAUCUGCCCUGCACUUCGGGAUAAGCUUGGGAAACUGGGUCUAAUACCGGAUAGGAGCCAUCUUUAGUGUGGUGGUUGGAAAGUUUUUUCGGUGUAGGAUGAGCUCGCGGCCUAUCAGCUUGUUGGUGGGGUAAUGGCCUACCAAGGCGGCGACGGGUAGCCGGCCUGAGAGGGUGUACGGCCACAUUGGGACUGAGAUACGGCCCAGACUCCUACGGGAGGCAGCAGUGGGGAAUAUUGCACAAUGGGCGCAAGCCUGAUGCAGCGACGCCGCGUGGGGGAUGAAGGCCUUCGGGUUGUAAACUCCUUUCGCUAGGGACGAAGCUUUUUGUGACGGUACCUAGAUAAGAAGCACCGGCUAACUACGU
rnacentral:rRNA from 1 species